UUUUAAAUUAAGGAUAAUUUUUGAUAGCAGAUAUCACUUUUAACCAUCUACUACACCAAAUAAAGAAGAGUAAAUUUUUUUUAAAAAUUAAAGAAAUAUCAUUAUGUGCUUUGUUUUAGUUAGGGUUUUACUGCUGCUGUGAGGAAACAACCCUAGCCAAAACAAGCUAGGAGGAAAGGGUUUAUUUGGAUUACACAUCACACUGUAUUCACUCUCUGAAGGAAGUCAGGACAGGAACUCAAUCAAAGCAGGAACCUAGAGGUAGGAGGUAAGGCAGAGGCUAUAGAUGGGUUCUGUUUAUUGGUUCCUCCACAUGGUUCCUCAGCCUGCUUUCUUAUAGCACCUAGGACCACCAGCUCAGGCAUGAGAGGAUCCACAAUGGGUUGGAUCUCCCACAUCGAACACUAAGAAAAUGCCCUACAGGCUUCUUUAGGGCCCUAUAUUAUGAAGGCAUUUUCUCAAUGGAGGCUGACUCCCUUCUGGUGAUGUUAGCUUGUUUCAAGAUUACUUAAAACUACCCAGCACAUAUUUCAUACUAUUUUGUCUUAUUUUCAGAGCUAAAUAUUUUCUGCUUUUGGCAAAAAAAAUCAUGACAUCAUAUUAGAAGGAGAAAGUUGAGACUGUGGAUGCCUUAGAGAUAUGGAAGAAUCCAGCUCUAUGUCUGAAAUCUCUAGAGAUAUUUAUAUAAGAAUUAGAGGACAUUAGUGGAUAAAGAUAAAAGAUAAGGCAAACUCCAAGACCUCAUUUGGUUAAAGAAGGAGCAAGCAUGCAUUAAAGUUGUGAUGAAUGUAGUUAAUUAAAACACAGCAAAUACAGAACUAGGAAUUAAAAAUAAGUCUCAAAAGAGAGAAUGGGAAAGCUAUGUCUCCUAGGGUGUCCUUGGAAGGACCAAAGCAGCAGAUAAGAAUAUUAGUGAUUAAGACAAGGAAGCCCUCACACCUUGUGCUGUUUUCAAGGUAAGUAAAGAGCUCAAACUGAUGAAGAAAAAUAUUCUUGCUGAUGAUUCUGGGUUGAAAUGUGGAAGAAAUAACACAAUAGAAAAUCUCUGUCUUGCAAUUCUUAAUGAAAUAAAUAAUGGAUUUAGAUAAUGAUCAUAAAUUAAUGAAAACAUAAGCUUAGAGCGUAAGAGAUACCUCCUAGUGAAGGGGUUGGAUUGCCAGGACUUGUCUUCAGUAAUUAUUCUGGGCAUCAAUAAAGGUGAAAUGAGCAGACACUUGGUCCUGAGAUGUGAGCCGUAGGACACACAGAAUUAUCUACAAAGUACACUUGUGAAACAAAUGAACUCAAACCCUGAGACUAAACCUACUCAAAAGUCACAACUAACUCUAUUAAAAGCAGAGAUGUGGGUGUUUUAACAUUACACUAGUGAAUAAUCAUACAAAAACCCCAACAUAAUGUGCAGGACCUCUAAUGAGCCCUUCACAAAAAUACAAUACCAACAAUGGAAUAAAAAGAGUGAAUGGGCCAGGGAAAGAACGAAAAGAUUCAAGAGCUCUAAAUAGCAAUGCACUGAAUGAAGCUUAUUGCUAUGUCAUCCAAAGCAACUGUGAUAAGCCAUUCUUUAGAUAACUAUGCAAAGUUGAACAUGGGAUUAACGUACAGUGGCACCAAGAAGAAUUAUUUGUUUGUCUGGCAUAAUAAUGACAAUACACUAUUGCAAGAAUUUUUCUAAAUUUUAAAAAAAUAUGUUCUGGUAUGUGUUCUAGGUAUGUGUACCUGAUACUUUUGAUUAACCUCAAGAGUUUCCACAAAAGACCCUGAGUGUAGAGGAGAUAGAUACACUAGAUGGUGCAAGAUUUUGAUCACACUUGUGUCCUGGUGACAGCUGGCUGCAUCACCAUGUUUAUAAAGCGUCUGAUUUACAUGAGGAUCUAAGAUCUCUUCUGGAUAUUCACCAGAGCCAUAUUGGUUUGCUCAGUAUAUGUUGCAGUAUGUUUUGUAUAUGGAAAAGAUCUUGUGUGAAAACUGAAGAUUUUAAUUUCACAGCCAUCAUCAAGCAGAGAGCUGCAACCAUUGCUGACCAAAAAUUAGCAGUGUCUUGAAACACAGUUGCAAUGGAUCUCUAGGCAAAGCUUGGCCUCAGGUGUGUCACUGCUGCUAUUUACUAUCUGGAUUCUACCAACCUGGACUGCUGAUAGAUCUGUGAAGUGUUUGAGAGUGACCAAGCUGCCAAUUGUAACAUGUGAACUGAAGUGCCAAUUUCCAGACAACACAGAUAGGAGUUGCUCCAAAGAAC
rnacentral:sRNA from 1 species